GGACCGUUCGGGACCUUUCCACGAGGCGAGCCAAUGGGAACGUGAGCGCCGAUUCCGUGCCGCAGCGAUAAUGUUUGGGCGCUUUGUCAUCGCGACGGGCUCCGAGAAGAAAGCGCUGUUUCUCCGCCCGCUUUCCUGCCCGAGGAGGAUUGGAAAGAGCGCCGCUCUUCAAUAAGCAGCCCCAGCGUUGUGCUUUUUGUACUCAGACAAAGAAGGCGUUUCACGGUCAGAGGAGAGCACGAAUCGUUGCGCGUUGUCGGCUUUGCGGGAGCGGUCAGAGCGGCGCGAAACGUGAGCUCGAGCAUCUUGGAGCGGAACCGCGCGACACAACGGACUAAAAUCUGUACGCCGACAUCGGCUCCCGGUCAAAAGCGCUCGGCAAAUCGAUUCACGUGAAAAUUCCUACUUUUAAAAGAGUGCCUGAGGUUGGUCCUGCGUGUGGGAAACUUGAGCUUUUCCUGCGGCGGGGUACAGACAAUGGAAAAAUCAGGAUGUAUAUGGGAAAGGCCUGCUGCGGGGAGGGGGGCAGAGACGGGGGCACCAAGCGAGCGGAGGAAGGAGGUCAGCGGAGAAGAACCUGGAGGGGUGGAGGGUCAACAUGGGUAGGACCUGUGGGGGUCUGAGAGGUAGAAGAUCUCCUGAAGAUCGUGCGUGAAUUCAUGCGAGAAUCACAGUGUGGGAGGUACCAUGGCCCAUAGGUGAGGUUGUAGGACCUUGGAGAGAUGGGAGGGUUGAGGUUUGCAUCCUCUGGUGGGGGUUUAGACCUAACCUCAUCGCCUGUGCCUUCCGUCCCCUGAGGUCUUUGUUUUCCUUCUUCUGGGGGGGCCUUUGUUUUGCUUCCUGUCGGGGGGUCUCUGCUUCUGUCUCCCAGUCUGGGCACGAAUGCGAGGAGGAAGUGACCCAGAUAGCCAGGCUCCUCCAGCGAGCACACAAGAUGGGGCUGCCAUCUCAAAUCAGUGUUGUGUCUGAGCAGCGGGCCAGAAGCCUCUGCCGAAAGCACCGCGCCGGCGUCCACCAAGCCACUUCGCCCACGGGCACGGCUAUUUUUUACCCACCAGCACCUGGGUGGGCGCAGGGCUUCUCUGCCAAACCUCACCGACACGUGAGAAUUCCUGCUUUUAAAGAGCGCCUGAGGUUGGUCACGCGUGUGCGACCGAGUUCGAUACCCGCAGGGUCCGCAGGUGACAACUCAACGGAUCGCAGGGCGAGGAAAUUUCCUUUCUCCGGAUUCGCGCCACGGUUACCAUGUGAACGGACCAUCGCAAGCGCCCCACGUUGUCAGCGACCCCGACGCCUCCGUUUGUUUGCACAAACUUCGGGCGGAAAAGAAAGCAGACGGCAGACGGCGCAGUGCUGUCCGCAGAGCCGAGAUCGCUUCCCUGGACUCGACUUUGGUCCACGAAGACACGAGGCGACUCGCUAGCGAACGGCUUCGUCUCCAGAACCGACUUCUCGCAACAGCAACGUCAUAUUCGUCCGUCGAGGGGGCAACGGACCCUCGCCUGCCGCUGACCAAUCGGCCGUCGCCGCACUGCUCUCUGUACUCUGAGGCCGCUUCCACUCCGCCGGACGUGUCGGUGGACUUCCGGGGGCGGAAAUUCGGCUCCGUCAGUCACUCUCAAGAAGUUUACCUCCUGGCCUUUAGAGACAUGAACUAAAGCGACAGCAGGCGGUGCAGUGGUCUGAUCUGGGUUCAGAUCCCUGGUCCAACUGCAGUACCCUUGAUCGAGGUACAUACUCAGCAAAAAUUACCCAGCCAUACAAAAGGGUACAUCGGCGUACUCAGCCGGGUGAACAGACUUCAUACGAGCCGCAGAAAGAGCGCAGGAAGUCGGCCGCCGUCUUCUCCGACCCCAGUUCUUUCAAAGUCUUCACACAACCACGCGAAGAUCUGUCAAGAGCCCCAAAGACGGCGCAAGAGCAGCGGAGAUGUUUCAAAUACACAGAAUAGGAGAUGGGGUGGAAGCACGUGGAAGAUCUCCAAGAGCACGUUUCCAUCUACCAGGUCUGAUGACUGAAGGUUCCAUUCACCAAGACUGAUGCUGAGUCGGAACUGAAACCAGAUUUACCACCCUGUCUCCAUUCACAGACAUCGUUCCACCACAGUAAAACCGAGAUCCAACACCUCAGGAGACCAGCUUCUGUCUCCAGGCUGACUCUCUGAACCUGAGAUGACCCGAAUGGGCGUGUGCGCCAAAAGAAACAGCCACUCAACGCUUUAUGAAAGAAACAACUCGAAGACAGGAACCAGUGAACUUCAAGCUACCUUUGAAGUGCUGAAGCUGCGAAACUGAUCGGGGUAAAAUGUCCCCCCCACCCUCAUUCGGGGAAGGAAGGUGGUGGUGCCCGGCCAGUCGGCACCCAGCGUGCCUCCAUCAGCGAUCGGAACCCAAAAAACGCACCUUCUCCAGUCAUUAUCGCCGCUCUACACACAGGUCGCAGGAGAUCACAGGUUUGACUUUUGAGUUGAAGCUUCAGCAUCGGCGGGUUACGACCCCAAUGUGGUGCCAGGCCCAAAACCCAGCAGUCCUCAGCAAAACCCGCACUACUGUCACCCUAACCAGGAAAUACGCCUCAAGUCUCUGGAACACGGACGAUCAAACGUUAAAGGGAUCGCGUCAAUAAACGAGCGACGGACACGUUGACGUAUCUGCGACGGGGUCGUGGGAAGAACUUCCCGAGUCACACGGGGACGGGAGAACGCUAGAGGUCCUUGUGUUGAGCACCUCUUCGUAAGAAAUCAUGAAAUAAAGUCUUGCUGAGCGCGGGAUCUUUGGCUUUUUUAAAUGUUCAUGCGCUUCUCCAUCUGCUCACAACAGCCGCAGUAUUUCAGGUCUCCAAGGAAAUGCUGCAUCUUGGGAUUUUCACCCGAA